AUUUAUAUAGUUUAAAUAAAACAUUACAUUUUCAUUGUAAAAAUAAAAUAAAUAAUUUUUAUAAAUA
rnacentral:tRNA from 3 species